rnacentral:tRNA from 1 species
GAGGGUAUAGCUCAAUGGUAGAGCACAUGCUUAGCUUGCACACAGUCCUGGGUUCAGUCCCCAGUGCCUCCC